rnacentral:rRNA from 1 species
UACGUAGGGUGCGAGCGUUGUCCGGAAUUAUUGGGCGUAAAGAGCUCGUAGGCGGUUUGUCACGUCUGCUGUGAAAUCCCGAGGCUCAACCUCGGGCCUGCAGUGGGUACGGGCAGACUGGAGUGCGGUAGGGGAGAAUGGAAUCCUGGUGUAGCGGUGGAAUGCGCAGAUAUCGCUUGGAACGCCGAAGGUGAAAACAGGUUGCUGGGGAUGUGCCGACGCUGAGACACGAAAGCCAGGGGAGCAAACGGG